UAAGAAAACGGCUAAUUUUCGUCGGAAGCUGUUAGUUCCGAAACUACUCGCGCGCCGCGUUGAAAACAGAUAGAAACCAUAAGUUCUAAAAUUCACAUGUGAUUCUUGGUUAACAGCAUACAUCGUGAUAUAUGGUUUUCCGGCAGAAGCACAUUUUAUUCAAAAUAUUUAUUGUUCUGACAGUUGGCUGUGCCUCAAGUCAUUAAUAAGAAGAAGAAGAUUCAAAAUAUUAACCCUAAAAUAUAAAAUUAUAAAUAUUAGUACACAAUCUGUCGGUAAAUGUAAUGAAGGUUAAUUUGAAAAACGUCAAGGAGAUGGAGCUCCAUUUCUGAUUUUUGCCGGCCGAAAAAUAAAGAAAAGAAUGAAAAUAUUAAAGCAGUGCAGAUUUCAAAUUGAUAAAUUAACAAAAGCAAAACGACUAUUGGAUUGUUACACUUUCUGGAAACCUGGAGAAUCUGGAAAAGUGAGGCAGUUUACUUUCAGGUGUAUUUUGUGCAAGAAUUUGCACUGAAAUCGUUUGCCUAAGAAAAAUUAAAUUUUUUUGAGAAUUUUUUAUCUUAGGGGUUGACUAAAGGGACAUAAUAGGGGUCUUCCUCUACUCAUAUUUGGCUGUCAAUUUUUUCUACACUUUCAGGUGUAUUUUGGAAAAGAAUUUGCACUGAAAUCGUCUGCCUAACAAAAAUUGAAUUCUUUUGGGAACUUUUAUAUUGGUUAUGGUUGACUUAUAGGUGGUAAUAAUGGUCUUCCUCUACUCGUAUUUGGCUGUCAAUUUUUUUAUACACUUUUAGGUGUAUUUUGUGCAAGAAUUUGCACUGAAAUCGUCUGCCUAAGAAAAAUUAAAUUUUUUUUGAGAAUUUUUUAUCUUAGGGGUUGACUAAAGAGACGUAAUAGGGGUCUUCCCCUACUCGUAUCUGGAUGUCAAUUUUUUUUUUACACUUCUAGGUGUUUUUUGUGCAACACUUGUGUUUAGUUCAAGCAAGUCUAACCAGAAAAUGCGAGCACUCAGAAACCAGAAAUCAUGGUUUUCGAAUGCUCGCAUUUUCUGGUUAGACUUGCUGAAACUGAGCAUUUUAAGUGUCUAACUUUUAAACUUUGAGGAAAAAGAAUCCAUCUCAAAUUAGAGCUGGGUUCGUAAUCGCAGUGAACGUAGUUGCGUAGUUGUUAAGCUUAAGCUCGUAUCAUAUGUCAAGAUGGCGAAAAUCAAUUUCGAAUAAUAUAUAAUAAUAAUAAUUAUUAUUAUGAGAAAUAAAUACUAUUUUCAUCUCUUGUACUCUUAGGGGCCAUCCAUAAAUAACGUUGCAUUAUUUUUCACCAUUUUCGACUCCCCCCCCCUCCCCAUGUUGCACAUUUUGCAUACAUUAGUGCCAUUUUUUCUAUUGAAUGUUGCAAAUUCUGGACCCCCCAUCCCUUCAAGCGCAACGUAAUUUAUGGAUGGCCCCUCUUGUGUUUUACCAUGUCAAUGUCUGUUUUAUUCAAAUAUUUUUUAAGGUUAUGUAUGUUUUAUUUUCUUGUUGCAAUAAAUAUACAAAUUAAACUGAA